AAGGCUGAUUCGCAGAGCCCCACAUUUUCUUGUUGAUGCCUGAGGAAAAUUAUUUAUGAGUAUGGAUCUGUGUUAAACUCUUCCACUGUGUACUCCCCUGCCUAAUCCAGAGAGGUUAAGAAAAUACUUUGUUUAGAGUUCUGGAGGAAAGACAGAGCGAGAUAAAAAAUACCCAUGUGUAGUGAGAGAAGUGAAGAGAAAGAGUCAUCAUUCACCAACAGGAUGUGCUGUCAAGACUGUCAGACGGGGACUCCUGGCUGGAAGAAAUUGUCCUGGUCACAGUGGCAGCAAAUAAUGAAGCAGAAGGAAGCUGAGUGAGAUUUAAGAAUGUAGUCUUCCCAUGAGGUUGUUCCAGACAGAGACAGAAAGCAGGAUGGUCCUAUGAGCACUGCUGAAAGACCAGCUCCUGCAGACUCUUUCCUCAACUGUUACUAGACUGCCAUUCCAUCAACCUGUUGCAGAGAUGUGAAGCAGGCUUUUCCAUCAGCCCUGCUGCAAGGCUAACGUUGUGAGGUUCCUGCAGUCCCUGAACUCUUUCCACUUCACGUGGUCAUUGAAAGACCUGCUGUAUAAGACUUAGCACCCGAAUCUACUUUUUUCUUUUCCCUCCUAAGGCCAUUUUCCUUUUUGUCAUGUCUUUCAGAUUGUAAGCCUGCAGGCAGGAACUGUCUUGUUUUACUGACUAUAUGCUUCAGUGGCAGAGGAAGGCAGAAAUGCUUUUAAUAAAUAAUCAAAUAAAACUUGUUGAGUGAGAAGAUGAAUUUUACAAUGCAACAGUUCAUGCUUCAUGCAAAAAUGGAAAGCAAAAUAAGCCACAUCCGCCCCAAAGCUCUAUUCCUAAGGGACAGUGAUUAAGCAGAAUGCACUCCUUCAUAAGCAGUGAAGACUCUAGCAUG